rnacentral:rRNA from 1 species
GAUGAACGCUGGCGGCGUGCCUAAUACAUGCCAGUCGAGCGAACAGACGCGGCGCUUGCUCCUCUGACGUUAGCGGCGGACGGGUGAGUAACACGUGGAUAACCUACCUAUCAGACUGGGAUAACUUCGGGAAACCGGAGCUAAUACCGGAUAAUAUAUUGAACCGCAUGGUUCAAUAGUGAAAGACGGUUUUGCUGUCACUUCUAGAUGGAUCCGCGCCGCAUUAGCUAGUUGGUAAGGUAACGGCUUACCAAGGCAACGAUGCGUAGCCGACCUGAGAGGGUGAUCGGCCACAUGGGAGCGGAGACACGGUCAAGAGUACUAAGGGAGGCAGCAGUAGGGAAUGGUCCGCAAUGGGCGAAAGCCUGACGGAGCAACGCGGAGUGAGUGAUGAAGGCCUUCGGAGCGUAAAACCGUGUUAUUAGGUAAGAACAAAUGUGUAAGGAACUAAGCACGGAUUGACGGUACCGGAUAAGAAAGCCACGGCUAACUACGUG